rnacentral:rRNA from 1 species
GGCGGUGUCAACGAGUCAGACCUUCUGGCCUGAAAAGGUUGGGUAAACUGGUCAAUCACCGUCAUGACAGGGAUCGGGGCUUGGAAUUGUUCCCCGUGAACGAGGAAUUCCUAGUAAGUGCAAGUCAUAAGCUUGCGCUGAUUACGUCCCUGCCCUUUGUACACACCGCCCGUCGCUACUACCGAUUGAAUGGUUUAGUAAGGUCCUUGGAUUGGCUCCAUUUAGGUGCCACCGAAAGGUGCGUACCUAGCCGGUGCUGAGAAGACGACCAAAC